UACUAGAGUAGCACUUGCAUAUCAAUAAGCGGAGGAAAAGAAACUAACAAGGAUUCCCCUAGUAACGGCGAGUGAAGCGGGAAGAGCUCAAAUUUGAAAUCUUAAAGGGUUUCCCUUUACGAAUUGUAGUUUAAAGAAGUGUUUUCUGUUGAGGUUUGGUAAAAGUUCUUUGGAAUAGGACAUCAUAGAAGGUGAGAAUCCCGUAUUUGACCUUUACUUUCAACUUUGUGAUACACUUUCAAAGAGUCGGAUUGUUUGGGAAUGCAGUCCAAAAUGGGUGGUAAAUUUCAUCUAAAGCUAAAUAUUGGCGAGAGACCGAUAGCGAACAAGUACCGUGAGGGAAAGAUGAAAAGAACUUUGAAAAGAGAGUUAAACAGUACGUGAAAUUGUCAAAAGGGAAGCGUUUGACACCAGUGUUGUUUUUCUGAAAAUCAAUUAAAGAACUGUUUAUGCUAAGCUGUUUAGACUUUAUCAGCUAUCUGUUUAGUUUUAGGCUUUUCUUUAAUGCACUUUUCAGUUAACAAGUCAACAUCAAUUUCUUUUGCUGUAAAAAAGCUUGAGGAAGGUGGCUUGAGAUUCGUCUUAAGUGUUUAUAGCCUCUUGCCUAUGCAGUCGGAGAGAUUGAGGUCUGCAGCGUAGAUCCUUCGGGGCUAAAUGCAUUUGUGCUAAGUUAUAGCAUUUUAUAGACAACUUGUUGACUAUGAUUUGUCUUGUAGCUUACUCGCUUAUGUUAUUUUACCUACGCUUAGGAUGUUGAGCGCAUGUCUCUCUCU
rnacentral:rRNA from 1 species